CUUGGGUGCUGGGAAGAGGCACAUGUCACACGUGCAAGAAGGUCCAAGGAUGAGAUUAAAAAUUCCACAAAGGUCCAAAUUCUAGGGCCCAGACAGAAGAGAAGAGUCACAUCAUCUAGAUGAUGAAUGAAAAGAUAUGUCAUUAUUCUCCUUUGGGCAGUGCUUCUGCAGAAAAGUUGCACCUUCUAGGUGUUGGACUCAGCAAUAUAUCACAAUGUCUGCAGUAUUUUGGAAGGAGAGGAGAGUCACCAUUACUUAGGUAUGGCCCAGGCAGGAGAGAAGGGUCAUAUCACCUAAGCUCUGGAUUCGCAGAUAGGCCCCAAUCUCUUUUUUGGGCAAUGCUCGGUCUAUCUUCAAUUUACAGACCUUGGCUUUUCUACCCCAAUUCAAGAAGUCACUUCUUCAGUCAACCAAACCAAUUACAAAAUUGUGUUCCAAUGUCACAUGUUCAAAAAUAAACAGUUCCUGAAA
rnacentral:lncRNA from 1 species